UGUUUGCUCUCUGUCUUUUGUGGCACCUUUACUCUCUGCUCCGUGUCUGCACACCUGUUCCUCGUUUAAUUAGUUGUAUUUAGUUCCACCUGAGUCCCUCCUUCACUGCUUCAUCAUUAUUCUUUUUUGACGGAUGUGGAUCGGACGGGUUUUAUUCGCACGCUACAACAGUACACAAGUCUUACACAAUGUGUUAUGGGUCACGUUCCUGCUUCUCCUCCUGCUGUGCGGACUGAGUGCAUGGCGGAGCACAUCAACAGGUGUUCCCUCUCCGCUGCGGGUGUGCUUCUGCAAGAGAUCUGCAAUCAACACACCUGCCCGUGAUGAGCAACCAGCCUUCAUAAUCCAGCGCGUCUUGAGAUCCGGUGCCAGAACGUAGUUUCUCCUACCAGUACACUUCCUCGUCGUCUACCUGGACCCCCUUUGGAUUCCCUCUUGCCUCCCUGGACCAAGACCUCGCUCCUGCCUUCUGACGUCCAAUCCUUUUUCUUCUUUUGGACUUCCACCUCUAUCUCAACACGCACACUCAACACCCUCUGGUGACCACGCUCAGA